CCUACGGGUGGCAGCAGUGGGGAAUAUUGCACAAUGGGGGAAACCCUGAUGCAGCGACGCCGCGUGAGUGAAGAAGUACUUCGUUAUGUAAAGCUCUAUCAGCAGGGAAGAAAAUUACGGUACCUGAGUAAGAAGCCCCGGCUGAAUAAGUGACAGCAGCCGCCGUUAUACGUAGGGGGGAAGCGUUUGCCGGAUUUACGGGGUGUAAAGGGAGCGUAGACGGCAGUGCAAGUCUGGAGUGAAAGGCGGGGGCUCAACCCCCGGACUGCUCUGGAAACUGUACGGCUGGAGUGCAGGAGAGGUAGGUGGAAUUCCUAGUGUAGCGGUGAAAUGCGUAGAUAUUAGGAGGAACACCAGUGGCGAAGGCGGCUUACUGGACUGUAACUGACGUUGAGGCUCGAAAGCGUGGGGAGCAAACAGGAUUAGAUACCCCAGUAGUC
rnacentral:rRNA from 1 species